rnacentral:rRNA from 1 species
UGGACGUCAAGUCCUCAUGGCCUUUAUGACCAGGGCUACGACACGUACUACAAUGGCCGAUACAAAGGGCAGGCGACACUGCGAGGUGAAGCCAAUCCCGUAAAAUACGGUCUCAGUCCGGAUUGGAGUCUGCAACUCGACUCCAUGAAGUUGGAAUCGCUAGUAAUCGUGGAUCAGCAUGCCACGGUGAAUACGUUCCCGGGCCUU